AGUGAACGCUGGCGGUAGGCCUAACACAUGCAAGUCGAACGGCAGCACAGUAAGAGCUUGCUCUUACGGGUGGCGAGUGGCGGACGGUUGAUGAAUACAUCGGAAUCUACUUUUUCGUGGGGGAUAACGUAGGGACACUUACGCUAAUACCGCAUACGACCUACGGGUGAAAGCAUGGGAUCUUCGGACCUUGCGCGAUUGAAUGAGCCGAUGUCGGAUUAGCUAGUUGGCGGGGUAAAGGCCCACCAAGGCGACGAUCCGUAGCUGGUCUGAGAGGAUGAUCAGCCACACUGGAACUGAGACACGGUCCAGACUCCUACGGGAGGCAGCAGUGGGGAAUAUUGGACAAUGGGCGCAAGCCUGAUCCAGCCAUACCGCGUGGGUGAAGAAGGCCUUCGGGUUGUAAAGCCCUUUUGUUGGGAAAGAAAAGCAGCAGGUUAAUACCCCGCUGUUCUGACGGUACCAAAAGAAUAAGCACCGGCUAACUUCGUG
rnacentral:rRNA from 1 species